UCCGCGGCAGCUAAGCGGCCGGUCUACAGGCCGGUACGGUAGCGUUACGUAUCAUAUAAAAAUAACAAAAAAAAAAAAAAAACUUUUGACCAGCGGCCGUCAAAGUUCUUUGAUGGCUGCAAUGCACGUUGGAAUGGAGCGGUUGUCGAGAGUUAGCAGCCGUGGGACAGAGUACUUGGGCUUCAUGCCGGUCGCCGAAGGUGUUAGCCCGGAGCUAGCCGUUAGCCCGGAGCUAGCCGUUAGCCCGGAGCUAGCCGUUAGCCAAACACGGAGACGGGAAGACUCGUCCGGCACAGGGGAGAAGACGGUCCGUAUUGUGGCAGUGGGCGAGGCACGGAGGACGGGCGGGAGGCAGCCGACAGCCAGCUACCAACGGCAGAGGUAUCGGCUCGAGGCAAAAACCGGACCGGGACGGCUCGAUGGCUGCCCCGGGAGAAAAGUUAAAAACCUUUUGUUGCAGCGCUGGGACGAUGGAGAAAUCCGGGUGUUCGCCGCUGACAGCGGGAGGCGGCCAACAAUCCGCUGAUGUUGGAGGAGAUGUCGGGAGCAAGGACACGGUCAAAGAGCUGACGUGUCUUACAUGGACAACAUGUUCCCAGUACCCUGGCUGUAGAGACUCAACAAGAUGGUCAAAGGUUUCUGUUGACGCCACCGAUAUCUAAGUUUAGGUAUAAGAACUGCCUCGAUGUGUUGGGGAAAAAGGAGGUUCUUGACAGUCUACUGACCACGUAGCUGUUGUGACCCUUUUUCCCUUGCAAGGAAAUAAACGGAGA
ensembl:lncRNA